ACUUCUAAUGGCGGUGACGGUUCCCGAGAGGGAUGAAAAGGGAAUACGGUGCGGACGCAGACACUUUCGCGUUCUAGGCCGUAGCUGUUCCCGCAACUGUAAGCGGAUCGUCUUUCGUCGGAUGCCACUGGGAACCUCGGUCCUGGGAAGGCGACGGAAGAUCAACCGCGAGCCAGGAGACCUGCCGUCAUUCGUGGUCACACG
rnacentral:ncRNA from 21 species